rnacentral:rRNA from 1 species
GAAGUAAGAAACCAACAGGGAUUGCCUUAGUAGCGGCGAGUGAAGCGGCAAAAGCUCAAAUUUGAAAUCUGGCUCUUUCAGAGUCCGAGUUGUAAUUUGAAGAAGGUAUCUUUGGGUCUGGCUCUUGUCUAUGUUUCUUGGAACAGAACGUCACAGAGGGUGAGAAUCCCGUGCGAUGAGAUGAUCCAGGCCUAUGUAAAGUUCCUUCGAAGAGUCGAGUUGUUUGGGAAUGCAGCUCUAAGUGGGUGGUAAAUUCCAUCUAAAGCUAAAUAUUGGCGAGAGACCGAUAGCGAACAAGUACAGUGAUGGAAAGAUGAAAAGAACUUUGAAAAGAGAGUGAAAAAGUACGUGAAAUUGUUGAAAGGGAAGGGCUUGAGAUCAGACUUGGUAUUUUGUAUGUUACUUCUUCGGGGGUGGCCUCUACAGUUUAUCGGGCCAGCAUCAGUUUGGGCGGUAGGAGAAUUGCGUUGGAAUGUGGCACGGCUUCGGUUGUGUGUUAUAGCCUUCGUCGAUACUGCCAGCCUAGACUGAGGACUGCGGUUUAUACCUAGGAUGUUGGCAU